UGCAGUCGAACGGUAACAGGGAUUGCUUGCAAUCCGCUGACGAGUGGCGCACGGGUGCGUAACGCGUAUACAAUCUGCCUUUUACAGGGGGAUAGCCUUUGGAAACGAAGAAUAAUACCCCAUGGUAAGUUGAGAUGGCAUCAUUUCAACUUUAAAGCUCCGGCGGUAAAAGAUGAGUAUGCGUCCUAUUAGCUAGAUGGUGUGGUAACGGCACACCAUGGCAACGAUAGGUAGGGGCCCUGAGAGGGGGAUCCCCCACACUGGUACUGAGACACGGACCAGACUCCUACGGGAGGCAGCAGUGAGGAAUAUUGGACAAUGGGCGGGAGCCUGAUCCAGCCAUGCCGCGUGCAGGAAGACUGCCCUAUGGGUUGUAAACUGCUUUUAUACGGGAAGAAACACCACUACGUGUAGUGGCUUGACGGUACCGUAAGAAUAAGGAUCGGCUAACUCCGUGCCAGCAGCCGCGGUAAUACGGAGGAUCCAAGCGUUAUCCGGAAUCAUUGGGUUUAAAGGGUCCGUAGGUGGACAAUUAAGUCAGGGGUGAAAGUCUGCGGCUCAACCGUAGAAUUGCCUUUGAUACUGGUUGUCUUGAAUCAUUGUGAAGUGGUUAGAAUAUGUAGUGUAGCGGUGAAAUGCAUAGAUAUUACAUAGAAUACCGAUUGCGAAGGCAGAUCACUAACAAUGUAUUGACACUGAUGGACGAAAGCGUGGGGAGCGAACAGGAUUAGAUACCCUGGUAGUCCACGCCGUAAACGAUGGUCACUAGCUGUUCGAACUUCGGUUUGAGUGGCUAAGCGAAAGUGAUAAGUGACCCACCUGGGGAGUACGUUCGCAAGAAUGAAACUCA
rnacentral:rRNA from 1 species